rnacentral:rRNA from 1 species
GUCUACGGCCAUGCUACCCUGAACAAGCCUGAUCUCAUCUGAUCUCAGAAGCUAAGCAGGAUCGGGCCUGGUUAGUAUUUGGAUGGAAGACCAUGUAGAAAGACCAGGUGCUAUAGGCG